UACGAAGGGGGCUAGCGUUGUUCGGAUUUACUGGGCGUAAAGCGCACGUAGGCGGAUUGUUAAGUCAGAGGUGAAAUCCUGGAGCUCAACUCCAGAACUGCCUUUGAUACUGGCAAUCUCGAGUCCGAGAGAGGUGAGUGGAACUCCUAGUGUAGAGGUGGAAUUCGUAGAUAUUAGGAAGAACACCAGUGGCGAAGGCGGCUCACUGGCUCGGUACUGACGCUGAGGUGCGAAAGCGUGGGGAGCAAAC
rnacentral:rRNA from 1 species